rnacentral:rRNA from 1 species
GCCGUAAACGAUGAGGACCAAGUGUUGGGGGUGAAACUUCAGUGCUGAAGUUAACGCAGUGAGUCCUCCGCCUGGGGAGUAUGCACGCAAGUGUGAAACUCAAAGGAAUUGACGGGGGCCCGCACAAGCGGUGGAGUAUGUGGUUUAAUUCGAAGCAACGCGAGGAACCUUACCAGGCCUUGACAUGGGAUGCGAAGACGCAGAGAUGCGUUGGAGGUCAACAUCCACACAGGUGGUGCAUGGUUGUCGUCAGCUCGUGUCGUGAGAUGUUGGGUCAAGUCCCGCAACGAGCGCAACCCUUGUGGCAUGUUGCUAACAGGAAAGCUGAGGACUCAUGCCAGACUGCCGGUGACAAACCGGAGGAAGGCGGGGAUGACGUCAAAUCAUCAUGCCCCUUAUGGCCUGGGCUACACACGUACUACAAUGGCGGCUACAAAGAGCGGCGAGACAGUAAUGUCGAGCGAAUCUCAUAAAAGCCGUCCCAGUUCGGAUUGGAGCCUGCAACCCGGCUCCAUGAAGUUGGAAUCGCUAGUAAUCGCGGAUCAGCAUGCCGCGGUGAAUACGUUCCCGGGCCUUGUACUCACCGCCCGUCAAG